AACGAACGCUGGCGGCAGGCCUAACACAUGCAAGUCGAACGCACCUUCGGGUGAGUGGCGCACGGGUGAGUAACGCGUGGGAACGUGCCCUUUGGUUCGGAAUAACCCCGGGAAACUGGGGCUAAUACCGGGAUAUCUCCUUCGGGAGAAAGAUUUAUCGCCAAAGGACCGGCCCGCGUAGGAUUAGCUAGUUGGUGGGGUAAUGGCCUACCAAGGCGACGAUCCUUAGCUGGUCUGAGAGGAUGAUCAGCCACACUGGGACUGAGACACGGCCCAGACUCCUACGGGAGGCAGCAGUGGGAAUAUUGGACAAUGGGCAAAGCCUGAUCCAGCCAUGCCGCGUGAGUGAUGAAGGCCUU
rnacentral:rRNA from 1 species